GGGGUUGUGGCUCAGCGGUAGAGCGCCCACCUCGCAUGUGUGAGACCCUGGGUUCCUGGGUUCAAUCCUCAGCACCACA
rnacentral:tRNA from 1 species